UACUAAGACAGACAGAAAAUUUAAAGUUGUGAUUUUCUCAGCUGAUAUUUCUAGGAACUAUACUCUUAUUCUGUCGUAAUAAUCAAGGACUUUGCUGUCGUAACAUGGCUGCAGAAGGCAUAAUGAUAUAACGCAGUGCCCGAAAAUAGUCCCCUUAGUAUCUUUCAAUAGCAGGGGCAAUUUUCGGGCACUGCGUAAUAUCAUUUUGGUUGAUUGACAAAAACAAGCACAAAUUUGUUUGACACUAAUGGAAAGGACUGCAUAUCACUUCACAUAAAUAUGGACUCAUGUGAUUCACCUACAAAGCAUGGCAUUCAUGGCUUAAUAAACUUUUUGUCUUUUCAUCAUUUCAGGUUGCUGAAAAUGUAGUUGGCAGAAGGUUUCCUUUUCGAUAAAAUAACUGGGGAACAGAUAAAUGAGAGGAAAGCCGAAUUGAAAGUUCACUGGUUACGUGCUCUGUGUGUGGAAAAACCUGGGAUGACACAUAGGAGCCUGCCAGCGAAUUCCAACACAAGUCCCCACAUCCCAAUCAGUUUUCAGCAUGACAGCCUACACCUUUACAUUAUCAAGCACCCUUCAACUGUUUAAUUUUGAGUGUCUUUGCUUGCUGUUCUUUAUUAAAG